UUCAAAUAUUUUAGAAGAUUGUCUAAUUGUUAAAAUAUUACUUGUAUUGCUAUCACUUGAUUUUGCAAAAAACAACUUUGUGGGCUUUGAUUUGCACUACGUCUCUUUUUUAGCAUUGACAACACUGUUAUCUCUCAAUUGCCUCUUCCUUCAGUUGUCGGUGCACGCAACAACGGUCGGUCGGCAAUUUUACUCGUUAAACGAAGGCGUUAUAAUUUUAAAGAAAACAAAUUAGUUUAAAAACUAGUGAAUUUUUAUAACUUAUUACCUUGCUAACAAAAUAACGGUUAAAUAAAUACAUUUUCUUUGGGUAACAUUAAAAAUGUAUGUCUUUACAAUGCAAUUGCAAUAUUGUGUUGUCCCUCUGGUUACUACAAUUAAGUGCGUGUGUUUGUGUUAUGCGAGAAAGAUGAUGUUGCGAAUUUUAUUCUUUGCCUUCACUUAAUAUGUGAAUAUAAACAAACAAAUAAUUCAAAUAUUUAACAGCAAUGUGCAAUUGUAAAAAUAUUUGUAUUGCUAUCACCUGUUAUUACGAAAAACACUUUUAUGGGCUUCUAUUCGCACAUUAUUUGCACUAUAUUCCUUUUGUAGUAUUGACAACACUGUUGUCUCUCAAUUGCCUAUUCCUUCAGUUGUCAGUGCACGCAACAACGGUCGGUCGUGAAUUUUACUCGUUAAACGAAAGUGUUAAUAUUUUAACAAAAAAUUAGUUAAAUUGUACGGAAAAGUAGUAAAUUCAAAUAAUUUAUUCCCUUGUUAACAAAAUAGUGCUUAAAUAAAUCCGAUUUCUUUAGAUUACGCUACAAAAUAGGUGUGUUUUUUCUAUGCAAUUGCAAUGUUGUGUUGUCCCUGUUGUUACUACAAUUAAGUGCGUGUGUGUGUCUUAUGUGAGAAAGAUGACUAUGCUAGUUUUUUGGAAGUCUAAUUAGCGAUACCUUGUUCGGUUGAUUGUUUGAAAGAAUAGACUACAAAUAUUGGCGAAAUUAUAGAAGAGUGUUUUAAUAUAUAAUAUAUUUUGGAGGAUCUAUUUGUCAAUCAAUAUUUUCUAAAAUUGAUUAAUGUUUGACCAACACGUGAGAGAGAGUGAAAAAGAGCCGCACAAAAAUUGAGAAUAAAAGAGUCAUCAAGAGCAAGAAUGGGCAAAAUAAUGAAUGAUAACAGCAAUAUUAAAUUGUAAAAAUAUUUGUGAUGCUAUCACCUGUUAUUACGAAAAAACACCUUUAUGGGCUUUUAUUCGCACAUUACUUGCACUAUGUUCCUUUUGUAGCAUUGACAACACUGUUGUCUCUCAAUUGCUUCUUCCUUCAGUUGUCAGUGCACGCAACAACGGUCGGUCGUGAAUUUUAAUCGUAAAACGAGUGUUAAUAUAUUAACUAAAAAUUAGUUAAAUUGUACAUAAAAGUAGUGAAUUCAAAUAAAUUAUUCGCUUGUUAACAAAAUAGUGCUUAAAUAAAUCCGAUUUCUUUGGAUUACGCUAAUAAAUUUGUAUUUUUCUAUGUAAUUGCAAUGUUGUGUUGUCCCUUUGGCUACUACAAUUAAGUGCGUGUGUUUGUGUUAUGUGAGAAAGAUGACGAUGCGAAUUUUUUUUGAGGCCUAAUUAGCGAUAUCUUUUUCGGUUGGUUUUUUGAAAGAAUAGACUACAAAUAUUGGCGAAAUUAUGGUCGAGUGUUUUAAUUCAUUUGGAUCUAUUUGUCAAUCAAUUAUUUCUAAAAUCAAUUAAUUUUUGACCAACACGUGAGAAUGAGAGAGGGAGAGAGUGAAAAAAAAAGCGCAAACAAACAACAAUUAAUGCUCGUAACGGAGGCUGAGGGCAUGGUGUGUCAAAUUACUAAUUAGAAAAUCGCAAGUUUAAUCCAAUCAACAGGCAAACUUAAUAAGAAAACUAAACAUGAAGUGUACUGGAAUUUGAGACAAAUUCAAUUCAAGUUUUCCAAUCAUUUAAAGACAGUUUAUUUUUAACUUCAUUAUUUGGAUUUGGCUGGCAGGCUGGCCGACAAGUUUUUUGAAAUGAAUUGAUGUUGUUGCAGCGCUUUGACUACAAAAAUGCACUUCAUUUUGGAUUUUGAAACGACGAAAAAAGAACAACAACGUCUAUGGAAUGAAACGAUACCCCAACAAUAAUGGUUCAGCUUCAGGUUUAUCAUUCUCAACGUCAAUGGGGUGGCACAAAAUCAAAUAUUAAAAUUCGAGCGAUGGAUGCGAUGUCCUG